CCAAUAGCGUAUAUUAAAGUUGUUGCAGUUAAAAAGCUCGUAGUUGAAUUUCGGAAUCUGUCCGUUGGUCGGGCUUAAUUGUCCGUACUGAUGUGAUGGGUUCUUACCUUCUGAAUAACCAGCAUGCCAUUAAUUUAGUGUGUUGGGGAAGCAGGACUAUUACCUUGAAAAAAUUAGAGUGCUCAAAGCAGGCUAGUGCCUGAAUACAUUAGCAUGGAAUAAUAAAAUAGGACGGCAUGGUUCUAUUUUGUUGGUUUCUAGGAUCACCGUAAUGAUUAAUAGGGAUAGUUGGGGGCAUUAGUAUUCAAUUGUCAGAGGUGAAAUUCUUGGAUUUAUUGAAGACUAACUUCUGCGAAAGCAUUUGCCAAGGAUGUUUUCAUUAAUCAAGAACGAAAGUUAGGGGAUCGAAGACGAUCAGAUACCGUCGUAGUCUUAACCAUAAACUAUGCCGACUAGGGAUCGGACGAUGUUAAUUUUAUAAUGACUCGUUCGGCACCUUACG
rnacentral:rRNA from 1 species